rnacentral:rRNA from 1 species
CCUACGGGAGGCAGCAGUGGGGAAUAUUGCACAAUGGGGGGAACCCUGAUGCAGCGACGCCGCGUGGGUGAAGGAGUAUUUCGGUUUGUAAAGCCCUAUCAGCAGGGAAGAACAAUGACGGUAUCUGACUAAGAAGCACCGGCUAAAUACGUGCCAGCAGCCGCGGUAAUACGUAUGGUGCAAGCGUUAUCCGGAUUUACUGGGUGUAAAGGGAGCGCAGGCGGCGCGUUAAGCCUGGUGUGAAAGUCCGCGGCCCAACCGCGGGACUGCAUUGGGAACUGGCGCGCUGGAGUGCCGGAGGGGUAGGCGGAAUUCCUAGUGUAGCGGUGAAAUGCGUAGAUAUUAGGAGGAACACCAGUGGCGAAGGCGGCCUACUGGACGGUGACUGACGCUGAGGCUCGAAAGCGUGGGGAGCAAACAGGAUUAGAUACCCGAGUAGUC